GGGUGGCAGAGGAAAGAGGAAUGGCGGAGAAGACAUAAAGGUUUUGGAUGAAGGGGACGGAAAGUUUGGAGUGUGCGCGACUAUAUUUAAUUCCGGUCGCUCGGCAACUGAUGAGCAACACUUGGUGAAAGGGAUGGAGGCAGCGGAGGGGACCACACUGGGUGACGCGUGUGACUCAACCAAAAGAGGGCACGUUUGCGGAAUAUUGUUGGCACACACAAACUCCACCAUACAAGUCAAUCAGGAGGCAGGAACACCGCUUUGAACUCCGAGCAUGACAUCAGCAGGUCCACACAGGCCAGAACAAUCUUUUCGAAGUGACUCGACCGACCUGGUGGAGCGCUGUCAGCCCGUCUACGUUGGCGUGGUUGAUGUCAGCUCCCUGGCGGAGGAGCGCCGCCACCUCCUCCCGGUCCCCGGCGGAGCAGGCGGCCAUAAACACGGCUCCCUGGGCGAAGCGGACCCGCGCCCGACGUGUCCCCGAGCUGCUCGCGGUAUCCCGAGCUUCCGACUCCGUCUGGUCCGUCUCCGAGCCCAGCCAUCGCUGCAGCUGAUCUUGCCGUCGCUGUUUGGCAGCUUCGGACCGGGACUGGUCAGUGGCCGCCAUCUUCCCUCGUCUGUCCCGGACCAAAUCAGCUCAUGGUGCGGGAGAAGUUGCUUGGAUGGGCUUGGAAGGGCGGCUCUCCCAGGAUGCGCCCCCUGGUGGAGAGACGCCCCAAAUGACGCUGUUGAACUUCACGACAAACCUAUGACUGAGUGGCAGUCAGGUGUCGCAUUCGAGGCGCCUGGGAAACCACAAAUUAUAAUAAAGGGCGUUUCUACUUUU